CAGCACCUCAAGUGGUCAGGAUGAUUAUUGGGCCUAAAGCAUCCGUAGCCGGCGCUGUAAGUUUUCGGUUAAAUCUGUACGCUCAACGUACAGGCUGCCGGGAAUACUGCAGCGCUAGGGAGUGGGAGAGGUAGACGGUACUCGGUAGGAAGGGGUAGAAUCCUUUGAUCUAUUGAUGACCACCUGUGGCGAAGGCGGUCUACCAGAACACGUCCGACGGUGAGGGAUGAAAGCUGGGGGAGCAAACCGGAUUAGAUACCCGAGUAGUCC
rnacentral:rRNA from 1 species